UCCAGACACCACGUCAUGAAGUCAAGUGGCCCCUAUGGAGAGAUUCACCGUGGGAGAAAACAAAGUCUCAACAUCCAGCUCUAACUCUCUAGACUCAUGACUGAGUCAUCCUGGAAUUCAGUCUUCCAGUCCCAGCCUCUUUCCAGAUGAUCAGAACCCCUGAACCAGAAGCCUCAUCCACAAUGGACCUGACUCAAGAACCUGGGAUCUCUGUGGCCUUGGACUGCAAGCCUCUGGGAAGCUUACAGGUUGGCUCUAAGACAAACGCCUCCUGAAAACAUUUCAACAUGAACUGCAAACCACAAGUGUGCUGGAUGGAAGUCUUGAUGGCUGACGAUUUGUCAGAGCAUUGUAAUGUGAAGUUUUCUGUUAACCAGCAUUUUGCCUUGGAAGAUUGCCUAGCAGAUGUCAGCCAGGAUGCUGAUAACAUCAGUGCCUGUGGAACUCCUGGACCAUUUUAAACUGAUAAUAGUUGCUCAGAAAAGAGCAACUAUUCCAGGAAGGUC